rnacentral:rRNA from 1 species
AAAUUUUUUUUGGUAAAAAAAUGAGAGAGAAAAGGGUUUUAUUUCUUAAGAAAAGUGCAGUAAAGAAAAGCACAAUUUAAAAAGGAACGUUUUGGAGCACGGCUCUGUAAGUUGAGAGUAGGAUUAGGUUUCCCGAAUUAAGGGGAUCUACUUUGGUCUAUGUGUGUUGUUGCAAAACCUUGGUAAGAAGAAGUAGUCGCGAAAUGCAAUUCGGACCUUAGGAUAGCUGGUUGGCUUUUAAAGGCAUUUAAGUGCUGCGGCUUUAUUUUGGCUAGUUACCUUGUGGUGAGAAUGUCGCAAAGAAAGAGAACUUGUAAAAUUUUUUAAGGUUUUUCCGUAGUGUGGGGGUUGCUCUUCGGGGAGUUUGUAGUAAAUCCAAAAGUUGAGGAAAAAAGGAAUUUUUUCGAAGUCUAAGAAAAAAAGGUUCAUCUCUGUCAGUUUAAAUGGAGGUUGAUACUGCAGAGAUUAGUCGGAAAGAAGUAAUUUUUUGGGUGUUUUUGAAGGGCCAAAGAAAAAGGUUUUCUUAGGAAAAUUACGGAAAAGGAACUCGGCAAACUUUUUUCUCGAAUGUUUAUUAAAAACAUUGCUGCAUGGAGGAAUGUGCGGUAAGUACUGCCCGGUGCUUAGGUAAACGGCGGCGUAAGGUUUUAAAGUAGCGAAAUACCUAGCCCUUUAAUUGGGGGCGUGCAUGAAGUAUCAACGAGGGAGAAACUGUCUCUUCUGUAGUUUAGCUUAAAUUGAAUUCUAAGUGAAGUUGCUUAGAUGUAGUCAAAAGACGAUAAGACCCCGUGCAACUUAAUUUAACUGGAAAGAGAUUUUCGGGAUGAUUUAGCUGGGGAAGCUGAGAAAGAGGAGCUUUUUUCAAAUCUUUUAAAAGGGACACCUUGAGAGCUGGUUUUCGACCAAGUGUGGGGAAAGUUACGCCGGGGGUAACAGGACGGUUUUAAAAUUGAGUUGGUAUCGGUUUUAAAGUUCGUUACAUCGAUGUUGAAUCAAGGCGCGCCUGGGUGGAGAGGCUCAGGUUUGGGGGUCUGUUCGACCUUUAAAGUCUUACGUGAUUUGAGUUUAGAACGGCGUGAGCCAGUUCGGUUUCUAUCUUUGAUCGAAAAAAAGGCAAUUUUGUACGCAAGGAAUUUUUGGUUGCUUUUGGGAGUUUUUU